UACAGAGGGCUCAACCGUUGUUCGGAUUCAUUGGGCGUAAAGCGCGUGUAGGCGGCCCAGUACGUCCGCUCUGAAAGCCCGAGGCUCAACCUCGGGAGGCGGGUGGAUACUGCUGGGCUCGAGUACGGAAGAGGCGAGUGGAAUUCCCGGUGUAGCGGUGAAAUGCGCAGAUAUCGGGAGGAACACCAAUGGCGAAGGCAGCUCGCUGGGACGUUACUGACGCUGAGACGCGAAAGCGUGGGGAGCAAACAGG
rnacentral:rRNA from 1 species